UUGUCGAUACCUGCAA
rnacentral:rRNA from 2 species